rnacentral:rRNA from 1 species
UACGGAGGAUGCAAGCGUUAUCCGGAAUGAUUGGGCGUAAAGCGUCCGCAGGUGGCUGUGUAAGUCUGCUGUUAAAGAGUCUAGCUCAACUAGAUACAAGCAGUGGAAACUACACGGCUAGAGUACGUUCGGGGCAGAGGGAAUUCCUGGUGUAGCGGUGAAAUGCGUAGAGAUCAGGAAGAAUACCGGUGGCGAAGGCGCUCUGCUAGGCCGUAACUGACACUGAGGGACGAAAGCUAGGGGAGCGAAUGGG